rnacentral:lncRNA from 1 species
CAAGCUAAAAUGGACGACUGCAGGGCGAGAAUGGCUGCUAAAAAGCGCAACGCCUCCCAGGGAAUUGAGCGAACUAAGUCCUUGGUCGAGCAGUACAAGAAGUUGGAAGUUGAUGAUGAUGAUGUCGCGGCUGAAUUGAACAUCACUUCCUCUCGGCAGAACGAGGAUUGGUAAAAACUUAGGGAACGAAUUCGUUCCAUAUGGGGUAGACUGUAAUUAAGACAUGCGAUGUCUUUUUUUUCUUUUGUAAUUCGAUUUUUCUUUGUAACUUUGUUCAUCCUUAAUGAACAUUAACUUUUG